AGGGUUUGAUCAUGGCUCAGGAUGAACGCUAGCGGCAGGCUUAACACAUGCAAGUCGAGGGGUAACAGAGGGUGCUUGCACCUUGCUGACGACCGGCGCACGGGUGCGUAACGCGUAUGCAACCUACCUUUUACAGGGGGAUAGUCAAGAGAAAUUUUGAAUAAUACCCCAUACGAUCUAAGAGAAGCAUUUCUUAUAGAGGAAAACUUUUGUGGUAAAAGAUGGGCAUGCGUCCUAUUAGCUAGAUGGAGAGGUAACGGCUCCCCAUGGCAACGAUAGGUAGGGGUCCUGAGAGGGAGAUCCCCCACACUGGUACUGAGACACGGACCAGACUCCUACGGGAGGCAGCAGUGAGGAAUAUUGGACAAUGGAGGCAACUCUGAUCCAGCCAUGCCGCGUGCAGGAAGACUGCCCUAUGGGUUGUAAACUGCUUUUAUACAGGAAGAAACCUAUCUACGUGUAGAUAGCUGACGGUACUGUACGAAUAAGGAUCGGCUAACUCCGUGCCAGCAGCCGCGGUAAUACGGAGGGUGCAAGCGUUAUCCGGAUUCACUGGGUUUAAAGGGUGCGUAGGCGGGUAGGUAAGUCAGUGGUGAAAUCCUGGAGCUCAACUCCAGAACUGCCAUUGAUACUAUCUAUCUUGAAUAUUGUGGAGGUAAGCGGAAUAUGUCAUGUAGCGGUGAAAUGCUUAGAUAUGACAUAGAACACCCAUUGCGAAGGCAGCUUACUACGCAUAUAUUGACGCUGAGGCACGAAAGCGUGGGGAUCAAACAGGAUUAGAUACCCUGGUAGUCCACGCCCUAAACUAUGGAUACUCGACAUAUGCGAUACACUGUAUGUGUCUGAGCGAAAGCAUUAAGUAUCCCACCUGGGAAGUACGUUCGCAAGAAUGAAACUCAAAGGAAUUGGCGGGGGUCCGCACAAGCGGUGGAGUAUGUGGUUUAAUUCGAUGAUACGCGAGGAACCUUACCUGGGCUAGAAUGCUGGGAGACCGCUAGUGAAAGCUAGUUUUGUAGCAAUACACUGCCAGUAAGGUGCUGCAUGGCCGUCGUCAGCUCGUGCCGUGAGGUGUUGGGUUAAGUCCCGCAACGAGCGCAACCCCUAUCUUUAGUUGCCAACAGGUAAUGCUGGGAACUCUAAAGAAACUGCCGCCGUAAGGUGUGAGGAAGGAGGGGAUGAUGUCAGGUCAUCAUGGCCUUUAUGCCCAGGGCUACACACGUACUACAAUGGGGGAGACAAAGGGCUGCAACAUAGCGAUAUGAAGCCAAUCCCAAAAACUCCCUCUCAGUUCAGAUUGCAGGCUGCAACUCGCCUGCAUGAAGCUGGAAUCGCUAGUAAUCGUAUAUCAGCAAUGAUACGGUGAAUACGUUCCCGGACCUUGCACACACCGCCCGUCAAGCCAUGGGAGUCGGGUGUACCUAAAGUCGGUAACCGAAAGGAGCUGCCUAGGGUAAAAUCGAUGACUGGGGCUAAGUCGUAACAAGGUAGCCGUA
rnacentral:rRNA from 1 species